rnacentral:rRNA from 1 species
UACAGAGGGCCCGAGCGUUGUUCGGAUUCAUUGGGCGUAAAGGGUGCGUAGGCGGCGGGGCCAGUCUGAUGUGAAAUCCCGGGGCUCAACCCCGGAACUGCAUUGGAUACUGCCUUGCUAGAGUGCUGGAGAGGGAACUGGAAUUUACGGUGUAGCAGUGAAAUGCGUAGAGAUGUGGAGGAACACCGAUGGCGAAGGCAGCCUCCUGGGCCAGCACUGACGCUCAUGCACGAAAGCGUGGGGAGCAAACAGG